UCUCAAUCGAAAAGGCAAUUAAACUCUCAAUUUCGAAAUUAGAGGUACGAUUCUAAAUCUCGUAAUGUGAGUUGUUUUUUCCUCUUUUAAUUUUUAAAUUUCUAAAUUAAAAGUCACUUGUAAAUGAUAGGUUUAGGGUUUUUUGAGCUCUUUCACUUAGGGUUGUUUGAUUAUUGUGUUAAAAAGUUUGAUUAAUGGUUAUUUAAUCGAAAUGGGAAUC
rnacentral:lncRNA from 1 species